rnacentral:rRNA from 1 species
GGGGAAUAUUGCGCAAUGGGCGAAAGCCUGACGCAGCGACGCCGCGUGAGGGACGAAGGCCUUCGGGUUGUAAACCUCUUUCAGCAGGGACGAAGCGUGAGUGACGGUACCUGCAGAAGAAGCACCGGCCAACUACGUGCCAGCAGGCGCGGUAAUACGUAGGGUGCAAGCGUUGUCCGGAAUUAUUGGGCGUAAAGAGCACGUAGGCGGUUUGUCGCGUCGACUGUGAAAACCCGAGGCUUAACCUCGGGCCUGCAGUCGAUACGGGCAGACUAGAGUUCGGUAGGGGAGACUGGAAUUCCUGGUGUAGCGGUGAAAUGCGCAGAUAUCAGGAGGAACACCGGUGGCGAAGGCGGGUCUCUGGGCCGUAACUGACGCUGAGGAGCGAAAGCGUGGGGAGCGAA